GGUGCAAUGGAAGUGAGGUGGCGCAUGGAGAUUGGGUCAAGGUGGUUUAAUUAUUUAAACCAACCUAAUUGAAUCAAAUAAUUUAGGUCCAAUUAGACUAAUUUAAACCCAACUAAAUUAGGCUUAAUUAGGCUCAAUAAAAUCCUAAUCAAAUUAGGAAUUGACUAAGCCCAACCCCUGAUCAAAUCAGGGACCAAACCAUCUCAACGAUUAGGUCAACUCUUAACCUAAUCGGGUCAAACCCAACUGAAUCCAAUUCAAUUGGACUUGAUCCAAAAAUAAUUACUCAAUCAAAUUGAGUUAAUUAACGAUCAAAUCACUAAUUAAACCUCUCAUAAAUACUGAGUCCAAAUUCGAUGGGCAAUCAGACAUCAGAAUUCAUCGAUAUAUAAUCCUGAUCGAAAAGUCCCAACCAGUGGGACUCUUGACCCCGGUACCCAUAAUGUGUGGAACUCGUGAUUAGAGAAUCCUGAUUCUCGAUCAC
rnacentral:lncRNA from 1 species